AUUGAACGCUGGCGGCAGGCCUAACACAUGCAAGUCGAACGGUAACAGGCAGCAGCUUGCUUCUUUGCUGACGGGUGGCGGACGGGUGAGUAAUGUCUGGGAAACUGCCUGAUGGAGGGGGAUCACUACUGGAAACGGUAGCUAAUACCGCAUAACGUCGCAAGCCCAAAGAGGGGGACCUUCUGGCCUCUUGCCCUCGGAUGUGCCCAGGUGGGAUUUUCUAGUAGGGGGGGUAACGGCUCACCGAGGCGACGAUCCCUACCUGGUCUGAGAGGAUGACAAGCCACAUGGGAACUGAGACACGGUCCAGACUCCUACGGGAGGCAGCAGUGGGGAAUAUUGCACAAUGGGCGCAAGCCUGAUGCAGCCAUGCCGCGUGUAUGAAGAAGGCCUUCGGGUUGUAAAGUACGUUAAGCGGGGAGGAAGGGAGUAAAGUUAAUACCUUGACUCAUUGACGGUACCCGCAGAAGAAGCACCGGCUAACUCCGUG
rnacentral:rRNA from 1 species